GUGUGCACGAGCUCGUGUCGGCUGGAGGGAGGUGUGGAUCCACUACCCUUUGCUAAGGGCCACCUUGCUUCCCCAUAGGCAGAUACGUGCUCUUGCACAUGGCCUGGCCAUCUGCAGUCUAAUUCACCCUGCAUCUCACCUGAUGCCAUACCUCCCUUCCCUAAAUAAAAGAGCUGGGAAGCAGCAUGGCAUUGAGAACCAGCCCUGGGUAGCAGAUCAGAGGAGCCUGAGCUCACAUGGUCACACUAGAUGUUAAGCAGGCUUAUUUCCCCUGUGCUCUCCCAUGCUGUCCCAUCUGCACAGGCUGGUAUCUGCAUCCUUGCUUCCUGUUGAUCACACACACUUCAGUGACCGCACUGAUGGCAUCCAUCAACCAGUCAAGGCUCUACAUGUCUCCAGACAGCCGUUAUUCCAAUUCCACAUCGCUACCCUGGAAAAAAAGUCCUCAGCUCCUCUCUAGAGAGGGGUGGGAAUCAAAACAUUGACAACAAUAUACGGCCACAGCUACUAAAGUAACUUUACUGAGGAUGGGCUCGUGCCUAGCUGUACCCUGUGCCCUUUCAGUUUGCCUGAAGAGGGCAUGUGGCUCCUCUGUUCCUGUCUAAACACACAGGAAACCGGCCAGCUGCAUGAUCUGACGCUCUAAAUUUGAGCAGCAUCUUCACUGCUUCAUCCUGCCUCUGCAGAGCAGGCAGCGAGCACGCACCUGCAGCUCCGGUUUUGCCUCUUGCUGAGGUCACCAGUUUGUCAUCCGCAGCCCUGAAUGCUGCGCAGCAAGGAGGAGCACGUCUGCGAGUGCAUUCCUGCAGAAGAGGGGAAAUGCAGGGUGGAGCAGCAACCAGCAGCUGACACUGUUUGCUAUGCACUUGCUCACCACGAGGCUCAGGACGCUGCCCGCUCCUUGAAUGUUUCCUUGAUUACUUAUUCCCAGCAUACUCACACACACAAACACACACUCACCCGCUUCUCUCAGAAGACUGGAAGGACGGGCUACCAGGAAAACAAUAGCAUUUCUCCCACUCGCAGCUGUGUGACAUUUGUUUUUGUUUCUCCAGGUGGCUUUUCUGUGCUAGCAGAACAUCUCACUCCUCAGAUUUUGACUUCUCUUGCCUCUUCUUGUCGGUGUUGGACACGGCCAUCAGUAGACACAGUUCUGAGCAAUCACCGAGGAAGGUUUUUCUUAUGCACUGUGGUAAUUGUGUCAGAACUCAAGGCAGUCCCACCGGUGUUCAGGUUUCAUCUGCCAUUCCCAGAGGAUUUCAUUACUCCCGCACAACCCUUUUUUCCUAGCAAGAUUUCACAUUGCCAGACCCCAGUAGAGACACUCAUGGACACAAUUCACCUGGCUUCCCCAGUCUGUGCUAAUGAGUAUUGCGCUACUAAGGAAUAUGAAAGUGCCAUUGGCAGAGCCUCUCCCAGGGUACCCCUGCUCUUGUGACUGUGGUAUUCUCCUGGAAAAGAAGAAGGGUAGACAGGGAAGCAGAAGAGGGCAUUGAACAUCCUACGCAAGCACAUCAGGCAAACGCAUGUGCUAAAGUUCACAGAGAACCUCACAGGACUGUGCCCCGUUGGCCACCAGACUAGAGGGACAGCCUCUCAGCUCCACUAUCCCCCUGUGAGUGGGAUCCCUUCUUCUCACUUCUCUUUUGGGUGCUUGAAUGUUUUGCUUUCAAUUAAAUGCAAUUUUCACUGUGAAAUACAGCUAUUCCUUUGCAGUUUUUCAGCAAGAGACAUAAAACCUAACCAGACUCAUCUGUUCCUACUGAGGUGAUGUUUUCUUCUUUCCUGCUGAACCAAACAGCACUUAUUCAUAUCUCGCUGCUAUUUUUAAGAGUGGGGCCCAGCUGUAUGGCAUUCAGAAGCACCACUAAAACUUCAACAGCAGAGUACACAUCAUAGUACAUUCUGGUUAGAGAAAUGACUGGCAGUCAUUUUUGCAAUGAGUGCUGUCUGUAUCGAUGCAUGUGUGCGUAUUUAUUACAUUAGUCACCUCCGCUACUAGAAUGACUUGCAAUUAAGAUUGCUGUAGUACCUGAAAUGUCACAUUGCUUGCCUUCAUUCUGAAAGGGGCACUGCCUUAACCAGAUAAAGCAAAGAGAGACAUAUGAGGGCAUGACCAGACUUAUCCUUAUAACCACAUUAGAAUGGCUGGAAAUGUUACCACUUCUCAGCAGAGAAGUAUAUUUUAGCUGGGACAGAGUCACUGGCCGCAUGUAAGCUCUCAGUCUCUUGAACUGCAAAGCAAGAUGACUUUCAGACGUGAAAGGAACUAACCCAUUUCAUUUUGCAUUUGCCAUACAUGCCCAUAGGGUUCUCACAUCUUCGCUGAGAGACAACCACCUCCAACCACAGUGGCACACAUUUCCUAAGUUCUUAUAGUGUGACACAAAGAACAUAAGCUGAUACGCAAACACAGUAAUUAGUAUAGGAGUACCCACCUGGCUGAUGCGCUGCAUCCGUUUGCUUGUGCUCAGAGGUUGGUAUGAGCUUACAUUUUAUCUCACGUGUGAAGUGUGGAGCCAGGACCUGCCCCUCCAGCAGGUUAUGGCAUGUGCUCGCUGCUUGGGCCUCCCAGGAACUCCAGCAGGUCACUGAGAAUCACAGUGCAAGGCACCAACAGUCCUGGUCUUUGUUCACAAGGCCCUUUCCUUCGAACAGCAUAGAAAAACAAUCAGAUCACUUACUGUCAGUGGGCAGCGUUGAACCCUGAAUAUUGGGAUGGCUGCAUGGCAUAGACAAGCCGUUCAACUUACUCUUUUGCUCUUCUGAACUAAUCAACUCGGAUGGUCAAACUGGCACAAAAGUACGUUUUCUUGUAUUUGGUUUGGUUAUUUUUUUUCCCCCACAGGACUCAUUCGCUUAUGUCAAUCAACUUGAAACAAAAUCAAAGACAAGUUUCCAUGUUUGUGGGUCUCCCGGAGAGGAAAAGGCAGUAAGCAUGUUUGCUGCUAUCCUUUUUCCUUUCAAAUGUUUGUAUUUCAUGAAUUACUCUUGCCACAAAAGUGUUCAUAGUAAAUGCAGAGGAAAGAACAAGAUUACCUGCUUUGAACGCCAUCAGAUUUACGCAUUUGGACAGGAUCUCAUCUGCCAGGUGGUAGAAGAACUUCUGAGUAACUACAAUGAAGUACCCAAGCCAAAGGUUUGGAAAAUUGAUCUGCAGGUAGUACUUAGGGUGACUUAUAUGCUCGUUCAGGCUGCUGUGCUGGUUUCGGGUAGGACAAAACACUCUUUUCUUCUUCUUUUUUUCUUCCAAAAACAUUGUCAGUUCCCUAUAGGCCUGCUCUGCAGGGCUCUAUGGCCAGUUUCCCUAUCGUCUUAAAACAACCCUCCAAACACCUGCUAUCUUUCAAACACCUUUUAUUUCGUGCGCCAUAGUAUGAAGUUUUUGUGUGGUUGUGGAAGUCCUUAGUGAAUGUCAGUGGUAGUCUCUGAAAACACCUGACUAAGUAGGAACCAUCUAACCCUUGGGAGCUAUUGACUGCUGCCUCCAAGGGCGUAAUUAGCAAGUGGCAGAACUUGCCAUGCAGGUCAUGUUUUACAAGAUCUCACAGUAUCGGUAUUGAUUAUGAUUAGAUUAGAUUGGGCUGAUGGUAAAUGCUUAUUUAUGAGAUUUUCAGGCAAAUAGUGAAUAUCUUGUCAUGAGCAUCACCAAAUAUGCUUUUCACACAACUCUAGGAUGAGUUAUAAACUUCAUAUAUGCAUGUGCAUGUGUAUGAUAGAAGAGAGAGGACAAGCCACAGAAAGGCCAGGAUCCUGUAUUUAACACCUUACAAGCUGAAGGCACAAAUGAGUUCAACACACCAAGAGGGAAUUUCACACUAAAAAGAGCAGCUUUUGGAAACCCCUAUUCUGCACUUUCCUGCCAGCCGAUGGCACAUAUAAGGAAGAUGGCAGCAAAUACAAUCGGGCUGGCACACCAUGUGUUAUUGCCUUGACACUGAUUGUAAGGAGAUUUUCACACACUUGCGCAAGGGAGAAUGUUAUUUUUCAGUCCUUCCAAAUAUGUCGGUGGUUUUCUGAACCCUUAAAACUCCAUGCAUCUGUUAGAAA
ensembl:lncRNA